UCUGGCGGCGUGCUUAACACAUGCAAGUCGAACGGGAAGGCCCUGCUUUUGUGGGGUGCUCGAGUGGCGAACGGGUGAGUAACACGUGAGUAACCUGCCCUUGACUUUGGGAUAACUUCAGGAAACUGGGGCUAAUACCGGAUAGGAGCUCCUGCUGCAUGGUGGGGGUUGGAAAGUUUCGGCGGUUGGGGAUGGACUCGCGGCUUAUCAGCUUGUUGGUGGGGUAGUGGCUUACCAAGGCUUUGACGGGUAGCCGGCCUGAGAGGGUGACCGGCCACAUUGGGACUGAGAUACGGCCCAGACUCCUACGGGAGGCAGCAGUGGGGAAUAUUGCACAAUGGGCGGAAGCCUGAUGCAGCAACGCCGCGUGCGGGAUGACGGCCUUCGGGUUGUAAACCGCUUUCGCCUGUGACGAAGCGUGAGUGACGGUAAUGGGUAAAGAAGCACCGGCUAACUACGUGCCAGCAGCCGCGGUGAUACGUAGGGUGCGAGCGUUGUCCGGAUUUAUUGGGCGUAAAGGGCUCGUAGGUGGUUGAUCGCGUCGGAAGUGUAAUCUUGGGGCUUAACCCUGAGCGUGCUUUCGAUACGGGUUGACUUGAGGAAGGUAGGGGAGGAUGGAAUUCCUGGUGGAGCGGUGGAAUGCGCAGAUAUCAGGAGGAACACCAGUGGCGAAGGCGGUUCUCUGGGCCUUUCCUGACGCUGAGGAGCGAAAGCGUGGGGAGCGAACAGGCUUAGAUACCCCUGGUAGUCCACGCUGUAAACGGUGGGUACUAGGUGUGGGGUCCAUUCCACGGGUUCCGUGCCGUAGCUAACGCUUUAAGUACCCCGCCUGGGGAGUACGGCCGCAAGGCUAAAACUCAAAGGAAUUGACGGGGCCCCGCACAAGCGGCGGAGCAUGCGGAUUAAUUCGAUGCAACGCGUAGAACCUUACCUGGGUUUGACAUGGAUCGGGAGUGCUCAGAGAUGGGUGUGCCUCUUUUGGGGUCGGUUCACAGGUGGUGCAUGGCUGUCGUCAGCUCGUGUCGUGAGAUGUUGGGUUAAGUCCCGCAACGAGCGCAACCCUUGUUCACUGUUGCCUGCACGUUAUGGUGGGGACUCAGUGGAGACCGCCGGGGUCAACUCGGAGGAAGGUGGGGAUGACGUCAAGUCAUCAUGCCCCUUAUGUCCAGGGCUUCACGCAUGCUACAAUGGCUGGUACAGAGAGUGGCGAGCCUGUGAGGGUGAGCGAAUCUCGGAAAGCCGGUCUCAGUUCGGAUUGGGGUCUGCAACUCGACCUCAUGAAGUCGGAGUCGCUAGUAAUCGCAGAUCAGCAACGCUGCGGUGAAUACGUUCCCGGGGCUUGUACACACCGCCCGUCAAGUCAUGAAAGUUGGUAACACCCGAAGCCGGUGGCCUAACCGUUGUGGGGGAGCCGUCGAAGGUGGGACUGGUGAUUAGGACUA
rnacentral:rRNA from 1 species